AUUGAACGCUGGCGGCAGGCCUAACACAUGCAAGUCGAGCGGAUGAAGGGAGCUUGCUCCUGGAUUCCGCGGCGGACGGGUGAGUAAUGCCCAGGAAUCUGCCUGGUCGUGGGGGCUAACGUCCGGAAACGGGCGCUAAUACCGCAUCCGUUCAGAGGGAGAAACUCAGGGAUCUUUGGACCUCACGCUAUUAGAUGAGCCUAGGUCGGAUUAGCUAGUUGGUGGGGUAAAGGCCUACCAAGGCGACGAUCCGUAACUGGUCUGAGAGGAUGAUCAGUCACACUGGAACUGAGACACGGUCCAGACUCCUACGGGAGGCAGCAGUGGGGAAUAUUGGACAAUGGGCGAAAGCCUGAUCCAGCCAUGCCGCGUGUGUGAAGAAGGUCUUCGGAUUGUAAAGCACUUUUAGUUGGGAGGAAGGGCAGUAUGUUAAUACCUUGCUGUUUUGACGGUACCAACAGAAUAAGCACCGGCUAACUUCGUG
rnacentral:rRNA from 1 species